rnacentral:rRNA from 1 species
UACGUAGGGUGCGAGCGUUAAUCGGAAUUACUGGGCGUAAAGCGUGCGCAGGCGGUUCGUUGUGUCGGCGGUGAAAUCCCCGGGCUCAACCUGGGAAUGGCCGUUGAAACUGGCGAACUGGAGUGUGGCAGAGGGGGGUGGAAUUCCGCGUGUAGCAGUGAAAUGCGUAGAGAUGUGGAGGAACACCGAUGGCGAAGGCAGCCCCCUGGGUCAAGACUGACGCUCAUGCACGAAAGCGUGGGGAGCAAACAGG